rnacentral:rRNA from 1 species
UACACGAGCGGCGAACGGGUGAGUAACACGUGAGUAAUCUGCCCUUCACUUGGGGAUAAGCUUCGGAAACGGGGUCUAAUACCUGAUACGACACCUUCUUGCAUGAGAUGGGUGUGGAAAGUUUUUUCGGUGGAGGAUGUGCUCGCGGCCUAUCAGCUUGUUGGUGGGGUAAUGGCCUACCAAGGCUUCGACGGGUAGCCGGCCUGAGAGGGUGACCGGCCACACUGGGACUGAGACACGGCCCAGACUCCUACGGGAGGCAGCAGUGGGGAAUAUUGGACAAUGGGCGGAAGCCUGAUCCAGCAACGCCGCGUGAGGGAUGACGGCCUUCGGGUUGUAAACCUCUUUCAGUACCGACGAAGCGCCCGUUGUGGGUGGUGACGGUAGGUACAGAAGAAGCACCGGCCAACUACGUGCCAGCAGCCGCGGUAAUACGUAGGGUGCGAGCGUUGUCCGGAAUUAUUGGGCGUAAAGGGCUCGUAGGCGGUUUGUCGCGUCGGGAGUGAAAACACCGGGCUUAACUCGGUGCUUGCUUUCGAUACGGGCAGACUAGAGGUAUGCAGGGGAGAACGGAAUUCCUGGUGUAGCGGUGAAAUGCGCAGAUAUCAGGAGGACACCGGUGGCGAAGGCGGUUCUCUGGGCAUUACCUGACGCUGAGGAGC